UGAGGAAUAUUGGUCAAUGGGCGAAAGCCUGAACCAGCCAAGUAGCGUGCAGGAUGACGGCCCUAUGGGUUGUAAACUGCUUUUAGGCGGGGGUAAAGGGGCGGACGUGUUCCGCCUUUGCAAGUACCGCCAGAAAAAGGACCGGCUAAUUCCGUGCCAGCAGCCGCGGUAAUACGGAAGGUCCGGGCGUUAUCCGGAUUUAUUGGGUUUAAAGGGAGCGUAGGCGGGCUAUUAAGUCAGCUGUGAAAUCCGGCGGCUCAACCGUCGGCCUGCAGUUGAUACUGGUGGUCUUGAGUGCGCGCAGGGGCGUUGGAAUUCAUGGUGUAGCGGUGAAAUGCUCAGAUAUCAUGAAGAACUCCGAUCGCGAAGGCAGAUGCCCGGAGCGCAACUGACGCUGAGGCUCGAAAGUGCGGGUAUCGAACAGGAUUAGAUACCCUGGUAGU
rnacentral:rRNA from 1 species